rnacentral:rRNA from 1 species
CCCAGACAGCCAGGAUGUUGGCUUAGAAGCAGCCAUCAUUUAAAGAAAGCGUAAUAGCUCACUGGUCGAGUCGGCCUGCGCGGAAGAUGUAACGGGGCUAAACCAUGCACCGAAGCUGCGGCAGCGACACUCAGGUGUUGUUGGGUAGGGGAGCGUUCUGUAAGCCUGUGAAGGUGUGUCGUGAGGCAUGCUGGAGGUAUCAGAAGUGCGAAUGCUGACAUAAGUAACGAUAAAGCGGGUGAAAAGCCCGCUCGCCGGAAGACCAAGGGUUCCUGUCCAACGUUAAUCGGGGCAGGGUGAGUCGACCCCUAAGGCGAGGCCGAAAGGCGUAGUCGAUGGGAAACGGGUUAAUAUUCCCGUACUUGGUGUUACUGCGAAGGGGGGACGGAGAAGGCUAUGUUGGCCGGGCGACGGUUGUCCCGGUUUAAGCGUGUAGGUGUGUGUUCCAGGUAAAUCCGGUUCACUUUAACACUGAGGCGUGAUGACGAGGCACUACGGUGCUGAAGCAACAAAUGCCCUGCUUCCAGGAAAAGCCUCUAAGCAUCAGGUAACAUCAAAUCGUACCCCAAACCGACACAGGUGGUCAGGUAGAGAAUACCAAGGCGCUUGA